rnacentral:rRNA from 1 species
UACGUAGGGUGCAAGCGUUGUCCGGAAUUAUUGGGCGUAAAGAGCUCGUAGGCGGUUUGUCGCGUCUGCUGUGAAAACGCGAGGCUCAACCUCGCGCCUGCAGUGGGUACGGGCAGACUAGAGUGCGGUAGGGGAGAUUGGAAUUCCUGGUGUAGCGGUGGAAUGCGCAGAUAUCAGGAGGAACACCGAUGGCGAAAGGCAGAUCUCUGGGCCGUUACUGACGCUGAGGAGCGAAAGCGUGGGGAGCGAACAGG